UCUACCUACGGGGGGCAGCAGUGGGGAAUAUUGCACAAUGGGGGAAACCCUGAUGCAGCGACGCCGCGUGAGUGAAGAAGUAUUUCGGUAUGUAAAGCUCUAUCAGCAGGGAAGAAACCCACCCUUUGGGGUGGCUGACGGUACCUGACUAAGAAGUCCCGGCUAACUACGUGCCAGCAGCCGCGGUAAUACGUAGGGGGCAAGCGUUAUCCGGAUUUACUGGGUGUAAAGGGAGCGUAGACGGCGAUGCAAGUCUGAAGUGAAAGGCGGGGGCCCAACCCCCGGACUGCUUUGGAAACUGAAUG
rnacentral:rRNA from 1 species